UUCACACUGCCGAGAAAAGCCUCUAGAUAGAAAAUAGGUGCCCGUACCGCAAACCGACACAGGUAGUCAAGAUGAGAAUUCUAAGGUGAGCGAGCGAACUCUCGUUAAGGAACUCGGCAAAAUGACCCCGUAACUUCGGGAGAAGGGGUGCUCUUUAGGGUUAACGCCCAGAAGAGCCGCAGUGAAUAGGCCCAAGCGACUGUUUAUCAAAAACACAGGUCUCUGCUAAACCGUAAGGUGAUGUAUAGGGGCUGACGCCUGCCCGGUGCUGGAAGGUUAAGAGGAGUGGUUAGCUUCUGCGAAGCUACGAAUCGAAGCCCCAGUAAACGGCGGCCGUAACUAUAACGGUCCUAAGGUAGCGAAAUUCCUUGUCGGGUAAGUUCCGACCCGCACGAAAGGCGUAACGAUUUGGGCACUGUCUCAACGAGAGACUCGGUGAAAUCAUAGUACCUGUGAAGAUGCAGGUUACCCGCGACAGGACGGAAAGACCCCGUGGAGCUUUACUGUAGCCUGAUAUUGAAAUUCGGCACAGCUUGUACAGGAUAGGUAGGAGCCUUUGAAACGUGAGCGCUAGCUUACGUGGAGGCGCUGGUGGGAUACUACCCUAGCUGUGUUGGCUUUCUAACCCGCACCACUUAUCGUGGUGGGAGACAGUGUCAGGCGGGCAGUUUGACUGGGGCGGUCGCCUCCUAAAAGGUAACGGAGGCGCUCAAAGGUUCCCUCAGAAUGGUUGGAAAUCAUUCAUAGAGUGUAAAGGCAUAAGGGAGCUUGACUGCGAGACCUACAAGUCGAGCAGGGUCGAAAGACGGACUUAGUGAUCCGGUGGUUCCGCAUGGAAGGGCCAUCGCUCAACGGAUAAAAGCUACCCCGGGGAUAACAGGCUUAUCUCCCCCAAGAGUUCACAUCGACGGGGAGGUUUGGCACCUCGAUGUCGGCUCAUCGCAUCCUGGGGCUGUAGUCGGUCCCAAGGGUUGGGCUGUUCGCCCAUUAAAGCGGUACGCGAGCUGGGUUCAGAACGUCGUGAGACAGUUCGGUCCCUAUCCGUCGUGGGCGUAGGAAAUUUGAGAGGAGCUGUCCUUAGUACGAGAGGACCGGGAUGGACAUACCUCUGGUGUACCAGUUGUCGUGCCAACGGCAUAGCUGGGUAGCUAUGUGUGGACGGGAUAAGUGCUGAAAGCAUCUAAGCAUGAAGCCCCCCUCAAGAUGAGAUUUCCCAACUUCGGUUAUAAGAUCCCUCAAAGAUGAUGAGGUUAAUAGGUUCGAGGUGGAAGCAUGGUGACAUGUGGAGCUGACGAAUACUAAUCGAUCGAAGACUUAAUCAA
rnacentral:rRNA from 1 species